CUCCGGGAACCGGGGCUAAUACCGGAUGCUUGAUUGAACCGCAUGGUUCAAUUAUAAAAGGUGGCUUUUAGCUACCACUUACAGAUGGACCCGCGGCGCAUUAGCUAGUUGGUGAGGUAACGGCUCACCAAGGCAACAAUGCGUAGCCAACCUGAGAGGGUGAUCGGCCACACUGGGACUGAAACACGGCCCAAACUCCUACGGGAGGCAGCAGUAGGGAAUCUUCCGCAAUGGACAAAAGUCUGACGGAGCAACGCCCCGUGAGUGAUGAAGGUUUUCGGAUCGUAAAACUCUUUUGUUAGGGAAAAACAAGUACCGUUCGAAUAGGGCGGUACCUUGACGGUACCUAACCAGAAAGCCACGGCUAACUACGUGCCAGCAGCC
rnacentral:rRNA from 1 species